rnacentral:rRNA from 1 species
AACGAACGCUGGCGGCGUGCCUAACACAUGCAAGUCGUGCGAGAAAGUUCCUUCGGGAGCGAGUAAAGCGGCGCACGGGUGAGUAACACGUAGGUAACCUGCCCCCCAGUCUGGAACAACUAGAGGAAACUCUAGCUAAUGCCGGAUGAGACCACGAUCCCUUCGGGGGUUGCGGCCAAAGAUGGCCUCUACUUGUAAGCUAUCGCUGAGGGAUGGGCCUGCGGGCCAUUAGCUUGUUGGUGAGGUAACGGCUCACCAAAGGCUGUGAUGGCUAGCUGGUCUGAGAGGAUGACCAGCCACACUGGGACUGAGACACGGCCCAGACUCCUACGGGAGGCAGCAGUGGGAACAUUGCGCAAUGGGCGAAAGCCUGACGCAGCGACGCCGCGUGGGUGAUGAAGGCCUGGUCGUAAGACCUGUCGC